UACGUAGGGUGCGAGCGUUAAUCGGAUUUACUGGGCGUAAAGCGUGCGCAGGCGGCCCGUUAAGACAGGUGUGAAAUCCCUGGGCUCAACCUAGGAAUUGCGCUUGUGACUGGCGGGCUCGAGUACGGUAGAGGGGGGUGGAAUUCCUGGUGUAGCAGUGAAAUGCGUAGAGAUCAGGAGGAACACCGAUGGCGAAGGCAGCCCCCUGGGCCUGUACUGACGCUCAUGCACGAAAGCGUGGGGAGCAAACAGG
rnacentral:rRNA from 3 species